rnacentral:rRNA from 1 species
AAAUGAAUAGACGGGGACCCGCACAAGCGGUGGAACAUGUGGUUUAAUUCGUAGACAAGCGAGGAACCUUACCAGGACUUGACAUCUCCGGAACCUGCUAGAAAUAGCGGGGUGCCUUCGGGAGCCGGAUGACAGGUGCUGCACGGUCGUCGUCAGCUCGUGUCGUGAGAUGUAGCCUUAAGUGGUGAAACGAGCGCAACCCUUGUCCUAAUUUAUAUUUUAAUUAGGAGACUGCCUCGGUUAACGGGGAGGAAGGUGAGGAUGACGUCAGAUCAGCGUGGCCCUUAUGUCCUGGGCGACACACGUGUUACAAUGGCUAGUACAAUGGGUUGCCAAGCCGCAAGGUGGAGCUAAUCCCAUCAAAGCUAGUCUCAGUACGGAUUGGAGUCUGCAACUCGACUCCAUGAAGUUGGAAUCGCUAGUAAACGCGUAUCAGCCACGGCGCGUUGAAUACGUUCUCGGGUCUUGUACACACCGCCCGU